GAUGAACGCUGGCGGCGUGCCUAGUACAUGCAAGUCGAGCGAACAGACGAGGAGCUUGCUCCUCUGACGUUAGCGGCGGACGGGUGAGUAACACGUGGAUAACCUACCUAUAAGACUGGGAUAACUUCGGGAAACCGGAGCUAAUACCGGAUAAUAUAUUGAACCGCAUGGUUCAAUAGUGAAAGACGGUUUUGCUGUCACUUAUAGAUGGAUCCGCGCCGCAUUAGCUAGUUGGUAAGGUAACGGCUUACCAAGGCAACGAUGCGUAGCCGACCUGAGAGGGUGAUCGGCCACACUGGAACUGAGACACGGUCCAGACUCCUACGGGAGGCAGCAGUAGGGAAUCUUCCGCAAUGGGCGAAAGCCUGACGGAGCAACGCCGCGUGAAUGAUGAAGGUCUUCGGAUCGUAAAACUCUGUUAUUAGGGAAGAACAAAUGUGUAAGUAACUAUGCACGUCUUGACGGUACCUAAUCAGAAAGCCACGGCUAACUACGUG
rnacentral:rRNA from 1 species